CACUAGGAAGCUAAAUAGGGAUUAGCGUUAGCCUUUUAAGCUAAAAUUUGGUGGUUCCCAACCACCCCUAAUGA
rnacentral:tRNA from 1 species